rnacentral:misc_RNA from 1 species
UUAAGGAUACAUAAGGGAUCUGUCUUCCCAUCUAGUAUCUUCAGGAGGUAGAUUAACCCAUUUGAUAAUCUAUUCAACAACUUAUUGCUAACCCCUCUCUAUUGUCAUGGUCUGAAGAACCUUUUCUGGUGCAAAAACUAAUGUUUCCUCAUUGUUGAGAGGUAGCUCAAGCGAAGGAACCACAUUAUCUCUAAUCCUUUUCUUCAAUAAAGAGACAUGAAA